CCUACGGGGGGCAGCAGUGGGGAAUAUUGGACAAUGGGCGAAAGCCUGAUCCAGCAAUACCGCGUGAAUGAUGAAGGCCUUAGGGUUGUAAAGUUCUUUUAGUUGGGAAGAUAAUGACGGUACCAACAGAAAAAGCCCCGGCUAACUCCGUGCCAGCAGCCGCGGUAAGACGGAGGGGGCUAGCGUUGUUCGGAAUUACUGGGCGUAAAGGGCGCGUAGGCGGAUUAGUAAGUUGGGAGUGAAAGCCCGGGGCUUAACCUCGGAACUGCUUUCAAAACUGCUAGUCUAGAGUGAAGUAGGGGGUGAUGGAAUUCCUAGUGUAGAGGUGAAAUUCUUAGAUAUUAGGAGGAACACCGGUGGCGAAGGCGGUCACCUGGACUUCAACUGACGCUGAGGCGCGAAAGCGUGGGGAGCAAACAGGAUUAGAUACCCCGGUAGUC
rnacentral:rRNA from 1 species